rnacentral:lncRNA from 1 species
CGCUUGACCACAGUCAAAACAAACCUUUCUGACCGUUUUAAAGAUAUAAAAGUACAUUUCCUGCAGGUGACAGUCAGUGAGAGCAUUUAAAUGUCACUUAUCAGCACACAUUUAAGCCCUUUCAGGUAAAAACAUGCGACUAUCUCUGGAUGAUGUGCAGGAAUGCUGGACACUCCAUCACCUAGUUUGUGUUUGGACGCAUGGACAGUCAGUCGCUGUAAUUAUGGUCAUCUGCUCAUCAUGCUGAGCCUCUCCUUGCUCCACCUCUCUCAUUGUUCCACCGCUCAGUCCAGCCUACGUCUCUGUCUUACUGCCCCAGGUUUGUCCGAGCCAUCACCGCUGUGUUGAUUUACCGCCUCAGGAUGGUCCUUGCCUUUGCCGCUCAGUUGUCUUACCGCCCCAGAUGAGUGUGUGAUUCAUUGAACACAGCUGGCAGAUCCUUUAGGGUUCAUCAGUCUAACUGCUUCUGAGCUGGACCUGAGAGAGACAUCUAGUGCUCAAUGCUGAAAUUACAGCUCAUUCACAAACAAAUGAGUGGAAUAUUGUUGCAGGAAGAAUCACCUGGAUGAAAAACCACAGAGGCACAAUAAGAGACUGAUGGUCACAACAUGGAUCUACAGCACAGAAAACAAGUGAAAAUGAAUGGAAAACCACAAAUAAGAACAAGAAACAAUAAUACAAAUGUACAAUCAUUCAACAUACCUGCAUUUAUGUACACACACUCUUCUUUAAUAAACUAUUUGAAAGAUUUA